UCUUUUUUUUUUUUUUUUUUGUGCUUCUCGAUGGAUCGGAAAAGAGAAAAUAAUAAUGACUCGAUUUGUGGCCGUGGGUGUACGAUUUAGCUUCUUUUGGGAGAGAUUGAGUCUAGAAAUGAUCGUUACCGUGGCAACCAUGGAUUCCGGCGAGUUCGCACCGUCUCCGGCAUUCUCAGGUGUUAAGUGACUGCUUAACAAGUUCCUCAUUGGAGGGUUCCAUUGAUUUGUACUUUGCAUCCAACACGAAUUGAACCUUCAAGUGUCCCAGUUAUCAGUUGAGUGCUUUAGCCUGAACUGAAGGAAUAGAAAGGAAGGAAAGAGACAAAGACUGUAAUGGUUGAAAUAGGAGUUAAUUAUCAUCAUUUCCUGCUACUGUUUAAGGUUGCUUUGUCUAUAGUAUUAUUACAAUCAAUUGCACUUGCGCUUAUAGUCUAAAAGAAUUGACCUGCUUUAGAUUCUUAUAAUACUAUUACUUUUGUUUGAUUUGACAAAUUAACAAUAAUAUAAUAAGAAAGCCAUUAUGAGUA